CGCGCCCCCUGAGCGCGCCCUCUUUACUCUUGUGAGCGAAGUGUGUUACCUCGUGGUAACACUGUGGUCGUGGUCUAUCUGAAAUAAUGAAAUGCACUAAUAUGCAGUCACCUAGCAGCCUGUACAGCUGCCAACCUACUAGUGAAAAAAUGCUGCAUCAUAGGAUGAUCCGUGGACACUGGAAACUGUUGUGGAAAAGAGGGUGGUGGUGAAAUUGAAUGCCAUUAUGAAAAGUCCCCUCCAGGAAGUGCUUUCUUGGAGUACUUUUAGCCACCGUUUCAUUCCAUUACGAUGUGUUAAGUACCACCGGUGGAGGUCUUUUCUGCCCACUGCUAUCCGGCAAUUCAAUGCUUCCUUCCAAUUGACUUACCUCUGUUAAUGAGAUGUGACCAUCUGCUAUCAUCUACCACCCAAUACAAGUACCCACCAAGCCAUCUUUCAAUUAUUUUGCACUCUACUGAACAAUGCUAGUGAUUUCUCGGUAAACAUGCUACAAACUUUCAUGAGUUAACUGUUGGUGUGGAAUUUAUAUGAAAAUGAAGGACUGCUUGUUUGGAAACAACAAAUCUUUUACCCCUUGGAAACUCGACCUACAGCAUGAUAAAGAUCACCUAUAUAUCAAAGGUUUACUCUGAAAUUUUACAUGUUGUCUAAGUCACUGAGACUGUAUUUGGACUUGCCCAAGGCCUUAUCAGGUGCUGCUUAACACAAUGUUAUAAGUUUUGUUUUUAAAAAACAAUUUAUAUUCUAGUUUCUGAUAAUGAAGAGUGUUGAAUGGGUUCAUCUUUAAUGCUAAAAAUUGUGGUUAGUAUUUUACAAUAAAUUAAGCCAUACAGCAGAAUUUCCCUGUUACAAAUUGUGCAUUUAAUUGAAUGUUAAUGUAGUGUUGUUUGUUUGUGCAAACCUACCCAGCCAACUAGUAAAAUUGCUUAAGGGUAUACAUAAAUCACUAUAGCCAACAUACCAGCUGGCUAAGUGCUCUUGCUGUGCUAAAAAAUCCUGUUUGAGGAAUUGAAUCAAAAAUUAAGGAUGUUGAAAUCUUGGUUUCUGAAUGUGUAUGUUUAAUUUAGGCAUUCUUUCCUCUUUUUAUUGCCAUUUUAAUUUUGCAAUAUUUAAUUACUUUCUCAUAGUGGACAAGAUGUUGGCAAGUGGUAAUGAGUGAUUUAUCUAUGGGACAGUUUGUACUGCAUUUAAGGGCUUCCCUUAUUUUAUUAUUUUUUAAUCUGGAUCCAUUGCCUGAAAAGAAAAAUAUAAAUGUAAUCCUCUAAUUGUUUCAAAACUACCAGUUGUAAAAAUGCAUUAUUGCUAUUUGUGGAUGUUUUGUUACUUUGUAAAGUCUGAAAUGUCUAAUUGAUAAAAAGACAACUUAAAACUG